GGACCCGUAGCUCAGCGGUGAGAGCGGGGGCCUUAUAAGCCUCGUGUCGGCGGUUCGAUUCCGCCCGGGUCCA
rnacentral:tRNA from 1 species